rnacentral:rRNA from 1 species
GUGUAGGAUAGGUGGGAGGCUAUGAAACCGGAACGCUAGUUUCGGUGGAGCCGUCCUUGAAAUACCACCCUGGUUUGUUUGAGGUUCUAACCUUGGCCCGUGAUCCGGGUCGGGGACAGUGCAUGGUAGGCAGUUUGACUGGGGCGGUCUCCUCCCAAAGCGUAACGGAGGAGUACGAAGGUACGCUAGGUACGGUCGGAAAUCGUGCUGAUAGUGCAAUGGCAUAAGCGUGCUUAACUGCGAGACCGACAAGUCGAGCAGGUGCGAAAGCAGGUCAUAGUGAUCCGGUGGUUCUGUAUGGAAGGGCCAUCGCUCAACGGAUAAAAGGUACUCUGGGGAUAACAGGCUGAUACCGCCCAAGAGUUCAUAUCGACGGCGGUGUUUGGCACCUCGAUGUCGGCUCAUCUCAUCCUGGGGCUGUAGCCGGUCCCAAGGGUAUGGCUGUUCGCCAUUUAAAGAGGUACGUGAGCUGGGUUUAAAACGUCGUGAGACAGUUUGGUCCCUAUCUGCCGUGGGCGUUGGAUAUUUGAAGGGGGCUGCUCCUAGUACGAGAGGACCGGAGUGGACGAACCUCUGGUGUACCGGUUGUCACGCCAGUGGCAUCGCCGGGUAGCUAUGUUCGGAAGAGAUAACCGCUGAAAGCAUCUAAGCGGGAAACUCGCCUUAAGAUGAGAUAUCCCUGGGGACUAGAUCCCCUUGAAGGGUCGUUCGAGACCAGGACGUUGAUAGGUCAGGUGUGUAAGCGCAGUAAUGCGUUCAGCUAACUGAUACUAAUUGCCCGUAAGGCUUGAUCCUAUAACA